CCCUUAGAUGUUCUGGGCCGCACGCGCGCUACACUGAUGCAUUCAACGAGCCUAUCCUUGACCGACAGGUCCGGGUAAUCUUUGAAUCUGCAUCGUGACGGGGAUAGAUUAUUGCAAUUAUUAAUCUUCAACGAGGAAUGCCUAGUAGGCGCAAGUCAUCAGCUUGCGUCGAUUACGUCCCUGCCCUUUGUACACACCGCCCGUCGCUCCUACCAAUUGGGUGUGCUGGUGAAAUGUUCGGAUCGGCCGUUUGUCGCGGUUUCCGCGUCAUGUGGCUGAGAAGUUCAUUAAACCCUCCCACCUAGAGGAAGGAGAAGUCGUAACA
rnacentral:rRNA from 1 species